rnacentral:rRNA from 1 species
AUGUAGAGGAAAGUGGCGGACUGGUGAGUAACACGUGAGCAACCUGCCUAUCAGAGGGGAAUAACAGUGAGAAAUCAUUGCUAAUACCGCAUAUGCCAUAAAUAUCACAUGAUAAAAGUGGGAAAGGAGUAAUCCGCUGAUAGAUGGGCUCGCGUCUGAUUAGAUAGUUGGUGGGGUAACGGCCUACCAAGUCGACGAUCGGUAGCCGACCUGAGAGGGUGAUCGGCCACAUUGGGACUGAGACACGGCCCAAACUCC